rnacentral:rRNA from 1 species
UGAGGAAUAUUGGUCAAUGGACGAAAGUCUGAACCAGCAAUGCCGCGUGCAGGAUGAAGGCCUUCGGGUUGUAAACUGCUUUUGUACGGAACGAAAAGCUUUGGGCUAAUACCCUGGAGUCAUGACGGUACCGUAAGAAUAAGCACCGGCUAACUACGUGCCAGCAGCCGCGGUAAUACGUAGGGUGCAAGCGUUAAUCGGAAUUACUGGGCGUAAAGCGUGCGCAGGCGGUUUUGUAAGACAGAGGUGAAAUCCCCGGGCUCAACCUGGGAACUGCCUUUGUGACUGCAAGGCUAGAGUACGGCAGAGGGGGGUGGAAUUCCGCGUGUAGCAGUGAAAUGCGUAGAUAUGCGGAGGAACACCGAUGGCGAAGGCAACCCCCUGGGCCUGUACUGACGCUCAUGCACGAAAGCGUGGGGAGCAAACA